GAUGAACGCUGGCGGCGUGCCUAAUACAUGCAAGUCGAGCGCAGGAAACUGACGGAACUCUUCGGAGGGAAGGCAGCGGAAUGAGCGGUGGACGGGUGAGUAACACGUAAGGAACCUGCCCCAAGGAUUGGGAUAACUCCGAGAAAUCGGAGCUAAUACCGAAUAGUUCUUCAGACCGCAUGGUCUGAUGAUGAAAGGCGCUUCGGCGUCACCUAGGGAUGGCCUUGCGGUGCAUUAGCUAGUUGGUGGGGUAAUGGCCCACCAAGGCGACGAUGCAUAGCCGACCUGAGAGGGUGAUCGGCCACACUGGGACUGAGACACGGCCCAGACUCCUACGGGAGGCAGCAGUAGGGAAUCUUCCACAAUGGACGAAAGUCUGAUGGAGCAACGCCGCGUGAGUGAUGAAGGUUUUCGGAUCGUAAAACUCUGUUGUAAGGGAAGAACAGGUAUGAGAGGUAAUGCUCAUGCUAUGACGGUACCUUGCGAGAAAGCCACGGCUAACUACGUGCCAGCAGCCGCCGUAAUAC
rnacentral:rRNA from 1 species